rnacentral:rRNA from 1 species
AGUGAACGCUGGCGGUAGGCCUAACACAUGCAAGUCGAACGGCAGCACAGUAAGAGCUUGCUCUUACGGGUGGCGAGUGGCGGACGGGUGAGGAAUACAUCGGAAUCUACUUUUUCGUGGGGGAUAACGUAGGGAAACUUACGCUAAUACCGCAUACGACCUACGGGUGAAAGCAGGGGAUCUUCGGACCUUGCGCGAUUGAAUGAGCCGAUGUCGGAUUAGCUAGUUGGCGGGGUAAAGGCCCACCAAGGCGACGAUCCGUAGCUGGUCUGAGAGGAUGAUCAGCCCCACUGGAACUGAGACACGGUCCAGACUCCUACGGGAGGCAGCAGUGGGGAAUAUUGGACAAUGGGCGCAAGCCUGCUCCAGCCAUACCGCGUGGGUGAAGAAGGCCUUCGGGUUGUAAAGCCCUUUUGUUGGGAAAGAAAAGCAGCAGGUUAAUACCCCGCUGUUCUGACGGUACCCAAAGAAUAAGCACCGGCUAACUUCGUG